AGCAUUUCAGGGUCAGCACGCUUCGCUAAAACUUUUCCAAAUGACUCUUGUAAACCUUCUUCUCUUCUCUGUACUUCAAGACCCCAGAUAGUUGCUAACUGACUCAAAGCCUUUGAGCCCAUCCACCCAUUUUGCAUGCCAUGAACUGCUUCCUCCGGCAGCCUGGGGUAUUUGCACUUAAUGUAUUCAAGAACAUAGAAAUCACCAAACACUUUCCCUAUUGACCAGAGUUUUUCGUUAGAAUAUUGGGGGUUUUGAACAACAGUCUUAUCGAUCAGUGCUUGAACAAGAACUUUCAUUGGAUAACUUUCAGGAAGUCCAAUUCUUUUUUUAAGGGUAUAAACUUUUGAGAUUGCAAUUUUGGAUGAAAGAAUAUUUUCGAUCAACGAUUUGCCGCUGUUACUGUACCACCGAACCCUCGCAUAGUCUUUCAUAGAUAUGCUCCUCCGAAAGGUCGUUGUUGAUCUGCUUAUAAACGACAUGGUAUUUUUAGUUACAAUUAAUUAUAAACUGUAUGUAUGCAGCAUACAAUAGUCGUUAAGGUGGUUAUUAAACAGGUUGAGGUAAAAUAGGCGGAAGAUAACUUUUAAGAAGUGGGUACGCGUUCCAGAAAUUCAAAACGAAUUUUGGCUAAUUGUCUUUAACAUUGGGAUUAGUUUAUUAAGAAAAAUCUACUAUAAACAAAACAAAUACAAAUUUUUUAGUAAAUCCAUCCUAGUUUAGUUGCAUGAACCUCAUGGAUACAAACCAUAAACUUCUGAACAUUAAAAUUAGUGUUGU